rnacentral:lncRNA from 1 species
UCCUGCUUUCCUGACCCUCUCCGCCAUUUAAAGAAACAGUACCGGGGGCGGGCCGAGCGACGCAGCCGGGACGGUAGCUGCGGUGCGGACCGGAGGAGCCAUCUUGUCUCGUCGCCGGGGAGUCAGGCCCCUAAAUCGAAGAAGCCCUGGCGCGCCCUCCCCCCCUCCCGGGUCUGGUAGGGCGAAGGAACGGGCGUGCGGUCGAUCGAGCGAUCGGUUGGCGGCUCUUUCUCCUGCUCUGGCAUCCAGCUCUUGGGGCGCAGGCCCGGCCGCCGCGGCGCGCGCCCGGUGGCCGUUGGCGCUCGCGCCGCGUCUUUCUUCUCGUACGCAGAACUCGGGCGGCGGCCUAUGCGUUUGCGAUUCGACGAGGAGUCGUCCGGGUGGUCGGCGGCGGCGGGCAGCUGCUCCGCCCCGCUCCGGGGGAGGCGGCGGCGGCAGCGGCCGCGGGAUUUGGAGCGGCCGGGGAGGCGGGGGUGGCCGGGGCCGGCUUGGAGGCCUGGCGCCACCCUUCGGGGCCUGCAAGGACCCAGUUGGGGGGGCAGGAGGGGGCCGGAGGAUGGUUGGUUGUGGGAUUUCUACUUUGCCUUUUCCUCCUUAUGCCGCCUUAGUGAGGGGCGGGAGCUCUGGCGGCAGCCCCGGGGUGGGGAGACGAGCUCCGGAGUCGGAAGAGCUGGGUUUUCUUCCGGGCCUAGCCACCAGUUGGCGGAGUGACCUUAGGCGAGUCACUCUGUAAUUUGUCUGCGCCUCAGUUUCCUCCUCUGCCUAUCAAUGUGUGUGGGGUUGAAAUCGCUUUGUAAACUAUAAAGCGUGGGUGUACGUAAAGGAUGGUUAUUGUUUAUAAUUUUUUUUGAGUUGUAAGAAAACUUAGCAGUUCCCCAAUCCUUGGGUUUUGAACCUGGGAACCUUGGAUUGGAGUUGGGGAUCCCCAAACUUCCUGAAAUUGUGGGAAUGUGCGGUUUGGGGGAAUGAUGGGAAUUUGUGGGAAUGUGCGUUUUAGGGGAAUGAUGAUCCAUCGCUAGCAAGUUUUCCAAGGGGGCUGUGACCCAGAAGAGUUAAGAAUCACAAUUUCUUCAUGCUACAGAGAGGAAACUGAGGCCUAGAUGUCAUUUGGGACCCUUCACAACCAUUUUGAAGCCCUGUUUGAGUCCCUGGGAUAUGUGAGCUGUUUCUAUGCAUAAUGGAUAUUCGGGGUUAACAACAGUCCCCUGCUUGGCUUCUAUUCUGAAUCCUUUUCUUUCACCAUGGGGUGCCUGAAGGGUGGCUGAUGCAUAUGGUACAAUGGCACCCAGUGUAAAGCAGCUACAAUUAGGAGUGGAUGUGUUCUGUAGCAUCCUAUUUAAAUAAGCCUAUUUUAUCCUUUGGCCCGUCAACUCUGUUAUCUGCUGCUUGUACUGGUGCCUGUACUUUUCUGACUCUCAUUGACCAUAUUCCACGACCAUGGUUGUCAUCCAUUACUUGAUCCUACUUUACAUGUCUAGGCUGUGUGGUUGGUGGUGAAUAGGCUUCUUUUUACAUGGUGCUGCCAGCCCAGCUAAUUAAUGGUGCACGUGGACUUUUAGCAAGCGGGCUCACUGGAAGAGACUGAACCUGGCAUGGAAUUCCUGAAGAUGUUUGGGGUUUUUUUCUUUCUUAAUCGAAAGUUAACAUUGUCUGAAAAGUUUUGUUAGAACUACUGCGGAACCUCAAAAUCAGUAGAUUUGGAAGUGAUUCAAAGCUAAACUUUUUCCUUGGCCCUCCUUGUGUUCUAAUUGCUUGCAAGUGUAAUACUAGGAUGUCCAAGAUGCCAGUUUUUGCUUCUUUGUUAGUUGUCAGCUGCUUUUAUCAAAUUUCAGGCCAUUAUCCAACAAACACUAUAAAAAUGUUUGAACAAUUGGAUUUCAAACAUUUUCGUUUUGUGGAGUGGUGCUCACCAAGUGGUACAGCCCUAAGCAAGUGAACACAAACACAUUUAAGUGUAUUUUGUCUGAUUAGAUGUUAGCCAGUUAUGCUAUUUCAUUCAAAUGUCUGAAAAAAUCAAUUGACUAUUCCCUUUUCCUAAAGGGCAGAGACAGAUAAUCUCACUUCCAGAGAAAUGACUUGGAGAAAAAAAAGUGUUGGUCUUUUUGCUCUUUUGUAAUUAAAUCCGGAUGUACCUCAAAAGACUUAAGACUGUGGUGAUAAGAUGCUUUCCUCAGCAGAAAGGAGGGAAAAAAAACAACUGGAACUCAAAGCUUGAAAUUCUGUGGCAAAACAUGAGAUGUCCAGGAUUGGAGGUUGAAAAGAUUUCACUACAGUGUUCUGCAAUAGUUGGAGCAGAUAACUUUCAGUGUAGCCACAGCCAUGGACUCCAGAUUUCCAGAUUUUCAAGACCUGGACCUGGAACCCGAAAGAGCUUGUCACGAUGCGGCAGGAACACUGGAGGUAGAUUUUUUUUUAUUUUUGAAUUUUGGGACUGUUGACCUUGCUGUGAGAAAAGAGACAACGACUGAGCAAGCACUACCACCAGCACUGUUACUGGGAAUUAGAAGACCUGAGUUUCUGUCCAGACCCUCAGUGCAAACUGAGGAUGCUCCAUCCAAAGUGAAUUAUGCCUACAGACCUGGUACCUGGAUUUUUGCCCGAGAUGAUUCCUACCACCUUACUACUGACGAAGACACCCAUUCCAGUGGACCACUGUGACCCAGGAGGCAUUCAGCCAUCAUGAUGUGGCCUUUACCUCCACUCCUGUCUUGUUCUACCCAGAUUCAGCACAGCCCUUUAUAGUGAAGUCAGAGUCCUCAAGCCAAAUAGCUAAAGCUGUUUUAUCACAACAAAGGCCUAGUUUGUUCCAUGAGUGUGCAUUUCAUUUCUUCAGUUAAAGCCUUCAGAGACACACAAUAAAUUUGGACCAGGGGAUUUUUUAGUUAUUAAUGCUCUCUGAAGAAAGGCAACAUCUUUUUGAGAGCAGCAUUGGACCACACCCCACAAUCUCAAAUGAUUGAAAUUCAUGAACAUCUAGGAUCCCGUGAAGGUCACUGGACCCUGUUUUUUCUACUUCAAAUCCUGUAGUAGCCUACUGAAUGAGAAAACAUAUUCUGACCCAUUGGGAUCAAAUCAAAGGCACAGUGAACUCCUCAUAGCAUCUUCUUUGGAAUUACUCAGGAACCAGAACUUUUUACACAAAUGUAAGAAAUUCUACCAAGGAGUCCCCUUACCUAACAGCAUCUCACAAGGCUGCACCAGAUUCCAGAAAAGGCUUCUCUUGAUACAUCAAGGUAGAACCUCUAUGCAUUUUGUGACCGACUUAUUCUUAGAUCAUUGGUUUUCCAAAGGCUUUGUGGCCAUGAAGCCCUUUGAGUGAAAACUGUGCAGAAGCCCAGAGUAAAAGUGAAGCUGCUCUGGAUGAAGUAGUGAAGCAAGAGUAGGGGCCUGAAUCCUGCUACAACUAUCUUCCUUUACCACCGUGGUGACACCUAAGGGGACUUCCUUACAACACCUUGAACUCUUCCGAACACAGUUUGAAAACCACUGCCCCAGACAGCAAUAUGUUUGACCUGAAUGGCAUUCCAAUCUUUUCUGUACCUCCACUCAGCACAGUUCAUGUUCAGUAGAUGCUGAACAUUCUUAGAAAUACUGUGUGUGAACUUAGAAAAGUGCAAGAAGACAGGCAUGUCUUUGACCCCAGGAAUGAUCAUUUGCUGAAGAUGGUGUCAAGUGAACCUAGAUUAACAGCCCUCCACUCCAGAUGGAUAUCCAGUGAUUCCUAGAAUGGGAUAUAGCCAGAGAACAAUUCUAUGCACCCUACACUGACAGACUCCCUUAAGCAACACCAGAUGCUCUACUGGUACUUGAAGUACAUGACUUUGAAGUCUUGACCCUCCAUGAAUACCUGAAUUAUCAGCAAGCGGGUUUUGAAGCUGGUGCCUCAUUGAGGCCAUAUUAGAGCAACUUGUACAUUUGACCUCUUGUUAUCAGCCAUGGUACUCUACUUCGUGUGCAAGAGAUAACUAUGAAAGCCAAAUUCAAAUACUGGCAACAUUUCCUAAAGGGGCUCAAUAUCUAUCAUUCGUCUUCUUUUCCAAACUACACAUCACUGUAUGACUCAACCAGUAGCAGUUAUAUUGCCCCUUGGUUUUUAUUCAGUUUAACUACUGUUUCCAAGAUAAAUGAGCUAAUAAGCUUUAAAAAAAAAAAAAAAAAAGGCUGAAUUCUUUUUUCUUCAUCACUGGCAUAUCUGCCUAUUCUCCAGAAUUAUUAUGACUAUUCAGCUCACUUUAACAGUUGAACUUCAAGCGACAAUCUUUGAACACCCCUUCUCAUGUGAUUUAAAAUGAAACCAUUUGGAAAAGUUUCUUCUAGCCAGUAAUAGAUUUUUUUUUUAAUUGCUCUGCCUUGUGCCGAGAGAUGUUCUUUUAAGAUGAAUCUUUUGAUGUCUGAUACCACCAAAUAUAGGUGGUAGGGAGAGUUGGAGGCUGGCCCUUUGAGCAGGCCAUUAGCUUACUUGCUGGGCAUUUCCGAUAGCUUAUUGCCUACCUUUUUGCUGGAAACAAACUGAUUUGAAAAACAAAAUCUAUGAAGACUGCAGCUAAGGAUUUUAUCGGUAGACUUAAGAGCUUUUGUCCUUGUGGAUAUUUUAGUGGAACCACAUCAGUCUCAAUACUGUCAUUUUACACUGACUCAGAGCAGCUGACUUCAUUCCUUGCCAUGAUAUAUAUUUAAGGCAGGCAUUGUAACAGACAUAAAGACAACUUAUCUGUUUCAGCAGGAAGGAUUCAGUUUAUGAACUCUCAGACCAGAUCAUGUUGAACAAGGAGACUUUGAUGUGUGUCAUGAGAAAACUCAUUCUUUACUUCCCAGUCAAUUUAAAGGCCAGCUAUCCUGAGCUACUCGAAUGAAUGCACUGGUUAAACAUUGGAAAUAGUUUGUUUAUAUCCUUGUCUCUCUCUAGGCCAAUUGUGAUUACAUGACUCGACUCUACAUCUCGUCAAACAAGGCCUAGGUCUGGUUGCUGUAGACUGCUCGCCCUCAACAAAUAAAAUCUGGUUGACUAGCCUCCUUGUAUAUACAACUAUUAUUUGUUAAGAAGAAAUUAUCGUCAAUUUUCUACUACCUUCCAAUUGUCAGCUCUUUUUUUCCUCUCUGGUUUUUCCUAUACUUUACAGAAAAAGACAUUGAUCUAUACUGCCAUUCCCUCUAAUCCUGCCAUACUCAGUCAAAAGGAAUGACUUAAGAUGAAGAUGAUCAUCUGCUCGAGUCUAAAAUAUACAUUGUAUAUAAGAAUUGGUGAUUAGAAAAGCAAAAAACCUAAAACUUAAAUCUAGGAGUCUGUAUACUGUCUCCAUGUCUCCAUGCCUCAGAUCUCAUCUAAAUCUUUGAACAGCACCAUUCAACCAAUCUGAGGCCUUGACUUGCUUGUAAGAUGAUUCUCAGAGAUCGGCUGAGUUAAAAAAGAUGACGACUUGAUUACCAAAGAAAGUAGGGCCAACUUUGACAAAUCUGGCUCUGCUGACCCUGUCACUCCCAGAUGUAGCAUAGACUCCUAAACAGAACCUCAAGUCUGAUUGAGGAUAAGGCCUUCUCCUGAGCUGAAAGUUCUUUGGCAGAUGAGCAAGAAACUGAAAGCUGAUGUACCUGACUGGCUCUGUAAGAUCAGAAAACUGUAUCCAGAAUAAGCCCUAUGGAUUAACCCCUGAGUACCCAGAGUAAAAACUAAUUUACAGAACUUCCUUAUUGAUCUGCUGGUUCUUCCAGAUCAUAUUCUGGCUAUUGGUAUGGCUGGCCUUUCUGAAGGUACCCUGCUUGUCUAUUUUCCUGACUCAGCUCUUGCCUGCCUUUUUCACAUGUUGCUGCAAUUAGACUCACCGUGAGGACUACAGUCAAUUUCAGUCUAUCUUGUGCCCAAUACAACAAGGAUUUUUAAUAGUAACAACCCACACCUCACCCACUAGGACUCAAUGUUCACAACAGGAAGGACCAUUGCUGCAUACUCCUUGACCAGCAACUUUUUUGAAGAUAUUUUUAAGUGCAGAGUAGGCCUCUAUUCCUGUAUGUAAUUGUUCAUUUUCAGCACCUGGAACCUCAUCUAUCGGGUCUGGAAGGAAUACAGCAGUUCGAAAGCCGCGUCCAUUUCUCUCCUUCAGUAGUGCAGAAAUGAGUCCGAUUCACCAGUACACACAGAACUGUACCAGUUCAACCUAGCAAAAGAAGAAAAGUUUCCACUGUACUUAAAAUUUACAGCUGACUCAAAUUGCCUCACAGAAUUAUUUGAUGUAGAAGGCUAGUUGUCUUACUUCAGAUCAGCAGGACAGUUGGGCUCUCAGACUCAUGACCACUGAGUUUGCUUGUGUUGAAACUGUGGUUUCAUCCAACAUAUGCUAUUGGACAUGAUUAUUAUUCCAUUCAAAUGGAUUACAGACUUCUUGAGGACAGGACAAACUUAUCUCUCAUGGUGUUUUUUUAGAAUACUUUUAUAACCAAGGAAGAAACCAUGCCAGCUGUUACCAUUCAACUUCUUAAGCAGAGAUUAAGCUUUUUCAUAUCUGUUCUUAUCCUGGACAUCAGUAGUUUUUAAUUGCCCAGCAUCCGUUCCAUCUUGUAACAACUCCCUGAUGUUUCUUAAAACCACCUCUUCCUAUUUUCAGUCUGUGGUUUGGACAGUCUGACCCAACCUUGAGCUUUGUGGGUGAACAUGUAAUUCAGACCUCAUCAAUCAGCAAAUCCAUCUGAACUGUGGAGGAGAAGCUCUCUUUACUGAGGGUGCUUUAGCUUUGUAGGAUGAAAACCUCAAACUAACAGGGCCUACCAUGUAGAGAAUGAAGCCAGUGCAGGGGAAAGCAGAGCCAAAAUAUGGAGAGACUUGAAUCCUGAUGACAGCGUUUGUGCCCCUGGAUCCAACCGUGCCUGAAGCUAGAAUAUCCCCUGGACUUUUCAGUUAUGUGAACCAAUAAAUACCCUUUUUUGCUUAAGUUACUUUGAGUUGGGUUUCUGUUACUUGAAAUUGAAUCCACACUAAUAUAUCUACCAACAUUGAGACUUGACAGAUCCAAGUAUUUAUUAAGCUAGAGGUCAUGGUCACUGAAAUUACUUUCCAAAGUGGAAGACAAAAUGAAACAGGAACUGAGGGAAUAUUUAAGAUCCCACAGAAGCGUAAAAAUGACAUGGUAGAAAGUAAUAGAAAACCUAAAUGUCUGUCAUUAAAGGAUAGGUUAAGGUGUGGUUCAGCCAUAUAGGAAUAUCUCGUAUCUGUUAAAAUGAAUAAAGUACAUUCAUUGUGUAUGGAAAAAUGGCCAUGAUACAUUAGGUGAAACAAGUUAUUAAUAGAAAAGUGUACAGUGUGAACUCAUUUUAAAAUGUGUGUGCUUAUGUUUAUAAAUGCAUAGAAAGGUCUAUUCACAGCUUUCUUUGAACAGUGUAGAUCACAUGAAACUUUCAACUUUAUACAUUUCUGUAUUAAUAUUUUACACUACCCACAUUAUUUUUAAACUUUAUUUUAAAUAAAGAAUUUUUAAAAUUAAA